UCACAACAGUCUCAUUCAGUGUUUGUACUUGAAUGUGUCAUCACAUCAUUAUAUUGCAGGUAAUUAUAGGUCAACAUGGAGUUUAGUUAUUCACUUACUAAUCAGUGUUUCAGCUUUACUGAAUCACAGCAUCCACAGAUUCUGACCCAGACCUCAAUCACAAAACACACACAUGCAAAGCUGAAGUGUCACAGGCAACAAAUGGUUUUCACUUAGAUUUAUUUCACUGUAGUUGUAAAAAGUUUAAAGUCCAUAUGUGUCCAACAUGUUUGUAUCAUAUCUGUGCUGAACAAAUGUGUCCUGAGCUCUGACGUCUCUUUUAGAGGACAGUCUGAUGUAUGCUGAGGUCAAACAGCCCAAAAAAGAAAAAGCCAAGAAAAACAAAGGAAAAUCAAGUCCUGCAGCUGAUGCAGCAGUUUAUUCUGAAGUCACAUCAGGAAGCUCUCUCAGUCAGUGAGGA